UCGUAACAAGGUCUCCGUUGGUGAACCAGCGGAGGGAUCAUUACUGAGUACUACACUCUCUACCCUUUGUGAACUAUUAUACCUGUUGCUUCGGCGGCGCCCGCGAGGGUGCCCGCCGGUCUCAUCAGAAUCUCUGUUUUCGAACCCGACGAUACUUCUGAGUGUUCUUAGCGAACUGUCAAAACUUUUAACAACGGAUCUCUUGGCUCCAGCAUCGAUGAAGAACGCAGCGAAACGCGAUAUGUAAUGUGAAUUGCAGAAUUCAGUGAAUCAUCGAAUCUUUGAACGCACAUGGCGCCUUCCAGUAUCCUGGGAGGCAUGCCUGUCCGAGCGUCGUUUCAACCCUCGAGCCCCCGUGGCCCGGCGUUGGGGAUCUGCCACGGCAGGCCCCUAAAACCAGUGGCGGACCCGAAGGCCCUCUCCUUUGCGCAGUAGCAUCAGCCUCGCAUUGGGAUCCCUCGGCGUCCUGCCUCUAAACCCCCCACAAGUCCGCUCCGGCGGCACCAAGGUUGACCUCGGAUCAGGUAGGAAUACCCGCUGAACUUAAGCAUAUCAA
rnacentral:rRNA from 1 species